rnacentral:lncRNA from 1 species
GUAGAUAUAUGAGGGUGGAUAAGAUGAAAUUGUAAACCCCAACAACACCAUUCAUCCAUAGUUUUUCCUCAACCAUUGAUUCACUGUAUUUGCAUGUUUACUUUUGUUCUUGCAUUUGUAAACUUAAAAUCAAUUUCUUCUCAAGAUUUACACAAUUAGGUUACACGAAAGUUAAGGCCUAAUAGUCCUUUGGGAAAUGAUACUUGGACUUACCCAUUUUAUAUUACUUGAUAACGAUCUGGUACACUUGCCAAGGACUUAAC